GUGCUCACUUCGGUAGUAUAUAUAUUACAAUUGGAACAAUACAGAGAUUGGCAUGGCCCCUAUGUAAGGAUGACAAGCAAAUUCAUGAAGCAUUCCAUAUUUUU
rnacentral:snRNA from 1 species